rnacentral:rRNA from 1 species
UAACCCAACCCUCCCUUGCCUACGUCUAUAUACCGCCUCGCAGCCUACCUCAAAGAGAAAUAAAGUAGGCCAAGCAGUACUUCACACUAAAACGACGGGUCGAGGUGUAACUCAGGAGGGGGACCAAGAUGGGCUACACUCUCACAUCGAGAAUACGGAAAAAACCCCGAAAUUAGUCUUUAAAGGUGGAUUUAGCAGUAAGAUAGGAAUAAAAUACCUAACUGAACAUAACGCAAUGAAGUGCGUACACACCGCCCGUCAUCCCUGCUACCAC